GUCAGUGUGAAACUUUUACUUCUUUCUCCAUCUGUUGUUUUAUGUUCUUCCAUGUGUUCUUUUUCACUCUCUCCUUUCUCUUAUGGUGUAAACGUUUUCACGGUCCCUUAACAUCUCACAUCUCCAAAUGAUCAGUACCUGAUUGGAAGCUGUUACUAUUUUUUCCUCCUUUUCACCAUCCUGCCCAAGCAGUUUUCAAAGAGAAAGGCAACAAUUGUUAAACUGAAUUCCAAAUGAGCCAGCCAAAAAUAGGUCAAAAUUGCUAGUCCCAAUAGAACUGCCUCAUGUAGAACAGUGUGUCCAACUGACUUGGGCUGAAGACCAAUGGAUGCCAUUUUUAAAAUGAUGUUUUGGUGAGAGUGAUCCUGAGAGUCACUUGAUGGAGUGCAAGCCCUUUUCUCUGUCUGACACGCUCUGUGACCUCAGCCAAGUGGCUGACCCUCUCUGUUUCUCUUUGCCUUGUAUGUAAGAUAGAGCUGUUUUUUAUCUGCUUCAUAACACAAUGGGGAGGUGCCAUGGAUCCUUGGCUGCAGAUACUUUGAAACCCAAACAUAAAGGCCAAGUCAGUGGACCUAUUUGAAGUCUUACUUUCCAGCUAGUGGUUGUAAGUCAUCUCAAAAGAAACCAAGCAGUCAAGUCCAAGAGUGUGGAAACAUGAGGCAUUGUUGUACAACCAUUAGAUUCAGAGUCAGGGAGACUGCCAGGGAGCUUUUCUGUCAACAUCAGGAGAUGCGACACAGCCAAGGGCCAGAGAAACCAGAACUCCUGUGUAUAAAGCCCCAAGUUCCCACCUAGGUGUGAUGUGACUUGCAGCUUACCAUGCCCCAAUGUGAUUGAAAUGGCUUAUAAAUAAGAAAACAUGAACAGCUAAUGUGACUAUUUCACAUAGCCCAGUGGCUCUCUGCUAAACUGCACACACCCUGCAUGAUGGAAACUUUAAAUUUAUUUCACAGCAGUAUUUUAUAUAUAUAUAUAUACAACUGAUAUGUGCAGCUCACGGUCAAUGAAAUAGGAAAACCAUGUUGAAAAGUUGCUUACCUCCCAUGGAGCAAAGACUGGCUGAAGGUAAUGAAGAUACCUGGGCACAUGGAUAUUAAUACUCACCAGGCACUUGUGAGUUUAUUUUCCAGAUGAAAACGUGCUUUAAGAGCCUGUCUACUUAGAUGAGCUGCACCAUUUUCUGAGUCUCCGUUUACUUACAGCAAUUGCUGGAUUUUGAGAUGGUUCUCAAAACAUGGAGAUUCCUCCCAUCUUGUAGGCCAAGAAACAGUUCUCAAUGUCACUUAUUCUAAGUUUUGUUUUGUCGGGUGUUUUGGGUUUUUUUUUUUUUUUUUCAGUGAACAUGGUGAACUGCAGAGGUUGAAGUUGUGAAAAGGCUGGGCUAAUAUUCUCUCUGUAAAGUCAAUUAGGCUUUCUAUCCCUGUGAAAUAACCAGGAAAUUUCACUCUCUAAAAGCAACAGCAUGUAAACUAGAAUGGAAGAAGGAAAUUAUGUCUGUAUGCCUACUCUUCUUUGUGAAUGUCUUUCAUUUAACUAAAAUUAUAUUAGAAACCAGAUUGAUAA
rnacentral:lncRNA from 1 species